rnacentral:rRNA from 1 species
ACGACGACGUCUCCCAAUCUCCUCCUCUCCCACCAUCCCCAGCCGCCGGCCGAGCCCUCCAGCGGCCAGCGCCGCCGCCGCCGGCGGCCGACCCUUCCGCCCCCCUCCCGCGGAAGCGCGACGCCCGGGAGUCUCCCCUCCCCCUCCCCCCUCACGCCCCCGCUGCUGGAUUGGCUCGGAGCGGGCGGGAGAUCCAUCCAGGCUGUGUUGCUAGCCACGGAUUUGCUCGCUGCCGCGCCUCGUGCUAGCCGGGCCUCUUGACGGUUCGACUCUGCUCUUCGAGAUCUCAGCUUGUUUUCCAGAAAUUUUGGGGGUUCAGGAACCCCCGCGCCAUGGAGUCAGGCGAUACCAAAUUUGAUGCAUCACAGUAUGCUUUCUUUGGUAACAAUGUCUUGGAGGAGGUUGAGCUAGGUGGAUUGGAUGAUGAUGAUGCUGGUUUUGUUGGGCCUGGUGACAAAGAAUACACUCCUAUUUAUGGAAGGGAUAUGUUGGAGGACGAAGGUGUAGGUUCAUUUGCUGGUGUUGAUGAUCUUGCCGGGGCAUUCUCAAAGCUGACCAGAACUGUUAAUGAACCAAAGCAAUCAGGAAUAGUUAGUCGUGGGGGAUCGUUACCUGGACAAACUUCCACUGCUGACUGGGCACAAGAGGCUGAAUCAUCGUACUGGCCUACACAGCCUGCAUUGGGUGCUGAACAACGGCUGGACAACAAAAACUGGUGGUCUCAACCACCCCAUCCAGCCCAGUUUGCUGAUUCCAGACUUCAGAGGACAUCCUCAUCCCCGCAACAAGAUGCUCAGUACAAUCCUAUUGAACCUAUUCUCGGACCAAGGCCAUCUCCUUUGCAGAGAAUGUCAUCAUAUCCUCACCAAGAGCCGCAAUACAAUAAUAUUGAACUGAUUCGUGGGAAUGGUAGCAGAUUUACACCAGCUUUGAUGCAGCAUCCAAAUGGAUUUAUACCACCUCAAAUGCCGCCACCCCAUCAACAAAACGGAAUGCUCCCAAUUCAACACUCUCCACCCCAGUUCUCACAACUACAUGCCCAGAUGCUUGGUGCCCAACAUUCUCCGCCACAAAAUCUGCAGAUGUUUGGUCCUCGGCAUCCUUCACCACAAAUGAUGGGUAGAUUUGAUCCAAAUUUUGUUAUGCCUGACUUGAGUGAUCCCAGAGCCAGAUCGAUGUUACACCAUGGAAGGCAUGGCCCGCGCUAUCCUCCCCAAGGUUUUGAGCCUGGUAAUAUGAGAAUGGAUAAUAGGUGGCAGCGGUUCAGAUCCAAGUACAUGUCCACUGAAGAAAUUGAGAACAUCGCAAGGAUGCAGAAAGCUGCCACUCAGAUCACCGAUCCAUAUAUUGAUGAUUACUAUCAUCAAGCUUGUUUGGCCAGAAAAUCAGCAGGAGCACAACUGAAGCACUACUUCUGUCCAACCUUGAUCAGAGAUACAUCUUCUCGUACACGCAGUAAGGAUGAGCCACAUGCAUAUCUUCAGGUUGAUGCUCUUGGGAGGCUUCCAUUUUCCUCCAUCCGCAGGCCCCGUCCGCUCCUUGAUGUUGAAGAAGCCUCUGAACCAAGUGAUAGCACUACUGAAAAAUCUGCUUCAAAAUCUCUUGACCAAGAGCCGAUGCUGGCUGCUAGAAUCACAAUUGAAGAUGGCCUUUGCCUACUACUGGAUGUGGAUGAUAUAGAUCGUUUGCUUCACUUUAGUAAACAGCCAGAUGGUGGUUUGCAACUUAGAAACAGAAGACAGGCUCUUCUCGAGCAGCUGGCAGAAUCACUGCAAUUAGUUGAUCCACUUACAUCUAAUAAGGAUGCACCUCUGUCGCAAAAUGAUGAUCUAGUGUUUCUCCGCAUAGUAUCUCUACCGAAGGGCCGGAAACUACUUUCUCGUUAUAUUGAUCUUGUUACUUCAGGUAGUGAGCUUGCAAGGGUUGUUUGCAUGGCAGUUUUCCGGAAUCUAAGAUCUAUAUUCGGCAAUUUGCCCUCUGAUAGCAGCAUAGCUGGGACCACAACUAAACUUGUAUGUGCCGUAUCCACCUGUGUUGUUCGGAUGGACUUGAGUGGACUCAGUGCUUGUCUUGCAGCUGUUGCGUGUUCGUCACAGCAACCACCUCUUCGACCUCUGGGAUAUGCUGCUGGUGACGGCGCUUCUGUCAUCAUAAAGUCUCUACUGGACAGAGCUACAGAUCUUCUUACUGAUCAACAUGUGGCCUCUGCUUACAGCAUGCAGAACCGAACUCUAUGGCAGGCAUCAUUUGAUGCCUUCUUCGGGCUACUUAUGGGGUAUUGCAUGAGUAAAUUUGAUACUGUGGUUCAUACAGUGCAAAUGCAACCUGCUGCUGCAGCUGUGAUAAGCAGGGAAACACCAGUGGAGCUGUUGCGUGCCAGCCUUCCUCACACAAAUGAGUAUCAGCGCAAGCAGUUGCUCAGUUUCGCUCAGCGCACUGUGCCUGUCAACAGCUCUAGUUCCCAUGGGUCUGGUAAUGUGCCGAUGGCAUCAGAAUAUGUCCAGAGCUGAAAUAGAAGAACAGAGCUGCUUUUCAUAAUCUAUAUACUUGAUAUGAUGUAAAACUUUUAGGUUCUUGCGAGUGGUGGGAAGAACAUAGAUAUUGUGGUGACGACAAAGAAUGACGACAAAGAAUGAUGGUCUCGGUCAAAUAUUCAAAGGAUGAUCUUCGGCCACUUUAGGAAGCUCAAAUUGAUGAAUUAUGUUGCUGAGACAGAGGUAGAGAAGGCUCCUAGAAUGGAUGUUGCCCGAGGGGAACAUGAUCGCUGAAUGUCCUAAGGCCAAAACUUUUAGGGUGCUUUCUGUUGCGUUCCAUUGCAUGAUCUAAACUUGUUU